rnacentral:rRNA from 1 species
UACGUAGGGGUCCGAGCGUUGUCCGGAAUUACUGGGCGUAAAGAGCUCGUAGGUGGUUGUCGCGUUGUUCGGUGAAAACUCAACAGCGCUUAACCUGUGGGCGUGCGGGCGAUACGGGCAGACGUAGAGUGCGGUAGGGGAGACUGGAAUUCCAUGGUGUAGCGGUGAAAUGCGCAGAUAUCAGGAGGAACACCGGUGGUGUAAACGCUUUCUGGACCGAUAAACUGACGCUGGAGGCAACGGAAAGCGUGGGUAGCAAACAGG